rnacentral:lncRNA from 1 species
CAGUGCUGCCUUUCACGGCGGUUUAGGGCGCGUGCCACAGGCGGAAUGUAACUCUGUGAACCGCAUCAGAAUGGAAGACAAAAGGAAUCUAAUACUUGAAGAUGGAUUUAAAAUGAUAAAAUCAGAUUAAUUCUGCUGCACAGGAACAAGGAAAAUUUAACAGCAUAUUAAAGAGAUAAGCAACUGUAGCCAUGUGGUAGUGACUGUUCCAGAGAAGACAACCACACGGUGGCA